rnacentral:lncRNA from 1 species
UUAUUCAUGAAUUCCUCUCACUUCCUCUCCCUUUUUUCCUGUUAUCUUAAGUUACCUGCCGGUAAUGAUGAAGCGUACAGUGUGAUUACCUCAGUACCUGCUGCUGACUGUCCUACUGGUUUGGAUAAAUCGAAAAUGCAAGAGUCUCAAAAUGAAGACUCUGAUAUAUACCAUGUGUACUCCACCAUCUGCGAGGAGCCACCUCCAUCAGCCCUGAAGGACAUGGUGUACAGCACCCAGUAGGCACAUUGAAACAAAAACGUGUUAAUACUGUAUAGAGAAACAGAACGCAGACAGCCUUAAGAACUGUUUCAAAUGAUGUGUAAUUUUUAAACUUGUCCUUUAUAGUGUAACCUAUGAUCUAGGGAGGAAAAUUGAUGUAUCUGCCAUGAAUGAACAAAUUCUUAGCUGGAUGGCUUCUUAUCUGUCAGAGAGGGACCAGCAGGUUGGGUAGGGUGUUACUUCUCUGAGCCUUUGCCCGUCACUUGCGGAGUGCCACAAGGCAGUGUCCUGAGCCCCCUUCUGUUUUAACGCUGGUUUUGUUUUCAGUUUGUGAGUCUGUGUGUGUGUUUUUCUCUGUGGACAGAUUUUUGUAAAAAGAUGCAGUCAUGAAACUAUACAGAUGUGUUGUUGAGAUCAAAUUUAAGGUUAAGUUCGAAGAUGGGCAUGGGACCAUUGGCGAAGGGACCAUUGGCCCUCCUCUUUAUGCCCCCCACCUUAUGGCCAAUUUAUCAUCAAAAAUCUUUACAGGUCUUUAAUUGAGAUACAAAACAA